rnacentral:rRNA from 1 species
CCUACGGGAGGCAGCAGUGGGGAAUCUUGCGCAAUGGGCGAAAGCCUGACGCAGCCAUGCCGCGUGAAUGAUGAAGGUCUUAGGAUUGUAAAAUUCUUUCACCGGGGACGAUAAUGACGGUACCCGGAGAAGAAGCCCCGGCUAACUUCGUGCCAGCAGCCGCGGUAAUACGAAGGGGGCUAGCGUUGCUCGGAAUUACUGGGCGUAAAGGGAGCGUAGGCGGAUAGUUUAGUCAGAGGUGAAAGCCCAGGGCUCAACCUUGGAAUUGCCUUUGAUACUGGCUAUCUUGAGUGUGGGAGAGGUUAGCGGAACUCCGAGUGUAGAGGUGAAAUUCGUAGAUAUUCGGAAGAACACCAGUGGCGAAGGCGGCUAACUGGCCCAUUACUGACGCUGAGGCUCGAAAGCGUGGGGAGCAAACAGGAUUAGAUACCCUGGUAGUCCACGCCGUAAACGAUGAGUGCUAGUUGUCGGCAUGCAUGCAUGUCGGUGACGCAGCUAACGCAUUAAGCACUCCGCCUGGGGAGUACGGUCGCAAGAUUAAAACCUUAAAGGAAAUUGACGG